AUUGAACGCUGGCGGAAUGCUUUACACAUGCAAGUCGAACGGCAGCACGGGGGCAGCCCUGGUGGCGCGUGGCGAACGGGUGAGUAAUACAUCGGAACGUGCCCGGUCGUGGGGGAUAACGUAGCGAAAGUUACGCUAAUACCGCAUACUAUCUGAGGCUGAAAGCUGGGGACCUUCGGGCCUCGCGCGAUCGGAGCGGCCGAUGUCAGAUUAGUUAGUUGGUGGGGUAAAGGCCUACCAAGCCGACGAUCUGUAGCUGGUCUGAGAGGACGACCAGCCACACUGGGACUGAGACACGGCCAAGACUCCUAAGGGAGGUAGCAGUGGGGAAUUUUGGACAAUGGGCGCAAGCCUGAUCCAGCCAUUCCGCGUGCAGGACGAAGGCCUUCGGGUUGUAAACUGCUUUUGUACGGAACGAAAAGGCUCUGGCUAAUACCUGGGGCUCAUGACGGUACCGUAAGAAUAAGCACCGGCUAACUACGUG
rnacentral:rRNA from 1 species